GAUUGCGGCAGCGCGUGCUCGUACCGGUGCAGCAAGUCGAGCCGGCCGAAUCUGUGCAACAGGGCGUGCAACACGUGCUGCCGGCGAUGCGACUGCGUGCCGCCCGGCACCGCCGGCAACGAGGGCGUCUGCCCCUGCUACGCCAACAUGACCACGCACAACGGCCGCCACAAGUGCCCGUGA
rnacentral:rRNA from 1 species